rnacentral:rRNA from 1 species
GACGAACGCUGGCGGCGUGCUUAACACAUGCAAGUCGAACGGUAAGGCCCUUCGGGGUACACGAGUGGCGAGCGGGUGAGUAACACGUGGGUGAUCUGCCCUGCACUUCGGGAUAAGCCUGGGAAACUGGGUCUAAUACCGGAUAGGACCACUGCCUGCAUGGGUGGUGGUGGAAAGCUUUUGCGGUGUGGGAUGGGCCCGCGGCCUAUCAGCUUGUUGGUGGGGUGAUGGCCUACCAAGGCGACGACGGGUAGCCGGCCUGAGAGGGUGACCGGCCACACUGGGACUGAGAUACGGCCCAGACUCCUACGGGAGGCAGCAGGGGGGAAUAGUGCACAAUGGGCGCAAGCCUGAUGCAGCGACGCCGCGUGAGGGAUGACGGCCUUCGGGUUGUAAACCUCUUUCAGCACCGACGAAGCGCAAGUGACGGUAGGUGCAGAAGAAGGACCGGCCAACUACGUGCCAGCAGCCGCCGUAA